UAGUAAUUAAUGAUGCUCUUAUUUGUUUCAGAUCCACCAUGCGUUUGAUUUGAUGUCAACGUAACUAUUAUUAUUUUAUAAUUAAUUAUAGUAUUAUACUCUAAAAUUAUGCGUUUCGUGUGUUUGCAACGGUGUUCGUUGAAAUCAUUGAAACGAGGGCGCGUUACAUGAAUUAGAACGUGUUACAAGUAAAUUUGAAGUGUUUCCGGGGGCUGAUUUAUAUAUAGAAAGCAGUUUCCAAUUACAAUUGCUAAUGGCAGUAGUUCUCAACCAGGGUGACAUGAACCUAGUUUAGGGGUGACACGAAAAAUCAACGAGAAAAAAGAAUUUUAAAUAAAUCAAUUUUUAAGAAAAAAAAUCAUAUUGUUAUAUUCAUAUUAAUAGGUAUCAUCGUCUUGAACGUUUUUUUCCGUGUACUGUUUCUAUUUUUUUUUUUUUUUUUUAAUUCUAUGUAUAUAAAAAUGGAGAAAAAAUGUUUAACAUUUCAUCUAUUAAGAACGGCUGAACCGAUUUCGCACAUUUUCUUUUGUUUGGAUCGUAAUCGCCGCGCCAGGAGGAAGUUCUUACGGAUGGAAAAUUUUAGAAAAUUAUCGGGUUAGAGAAAUAUGACGAGAGGGUGAUGAAACUACAGAGGCAAAAUACAAGGUUGUUUUUAAAAUUAAUGCAAGCAAAUAGACGUACAAAAUUAAAUCCACCAGAAAAGUACAGAAUCUGGAUGUAAAAAAACUACUGUCACUGUCCAGCAAGAAAAUAAACUAUAUUAAGCAAUAGACUAACAUAACAAGUUAUACCAAGGCAUCAAAAUAAAAACCACAAGAUGGCACAUUAUUGUAUUUUAUCCACCGUAUUAAAAAAAAAAUUGAUUUAACUUUGAAACUUAAUGGUUAGAAAUUAUAAACUUACGUACACAUCUCACGGGGUCCGCAAUCCACCACGGGUGGAUUGCCUACAUGAUAGUAUACCACUCGCAUAAUCAUAAGAGAGUCUCACAGCAACGGCAAGCAGAAUGACUAUAAUAUUUUAUAUUAUGACUUGAGUAAUUCACUGACUGAUAAACGUAGAGCCUGAACAAUGAUAGAUCGAUGCUUGUAAUUUACACGGUACAUUCGUAAAAUCGUACCACAAAUUUAGUAUGCAAUAAGAAAGCAUUUUACAAAAUUCGCAUAUUAAAGUGGUGCUUUCACAAGUUUUCUGAGAAUCAAAAUGGUCAAUGAAAAUGUCAAAAUGGCAAUGAAAAGUUUUGAACACCGUUAAACCGAAUAUUAAAUAACAAAUUAAUUAAAAUUAGAAUCAUAAUAUAGAAUUGGCAUUUUUAACGGGCAACAAAGUGCAAAG